UGAUCAAUUGCUCAGUUGGUAGAGCAUUUGUCUCAUAAACUAAGGGUAUCAAUUCCCGCUAUGGUCAG